rnacentral:rRNA from 1 species
UACGUAGGUGGCGAGCGUUGUCCGGAAUCAUUGGGCGUAAAGCGCGUGUAGGCGGCCCGAUAAGUCCGCUGUGAAAGUCCAGGGCUCAACCCUGGGAUGCCGGUGGAUACUGUCGGGCUCGAGUCCGGAAGAGGCGAGUGGAAUUCCUGGUGUAGCGGUGAAAUGCGCAGAUAUCAGGAGGAACACCAAUGGCGAAGGCAGCUCGCUGGGACGUGACUGACGCUGAGACGCGAAAGCGUGGGGAGCGAACAGG